AUUGAACGCUGGCGGCAGGCCUAACACAUGCAAGUCGAACGGUAACAGGAAGCAGCUUGCUGCUUUGCUGACGAGUGGCGGACGGGUGAGUAAUGUCUGGGAAACUGCCCGAUGGAGGGGGAUAACUACUGGAAACGGUAGCUAAUACCGCAUAACGUCGCAAGACCAAAGAGGGGGACCUUAGGGCCUCUUGCCAUCGGAUGUGCCCAGAUGGGAUUAGCUAGUAGGUGGGGUAACGGCUCACCUAGGCGACGAUCCCUAGCUGGUCUGAGAGGAUGACCAGCCACACUGGAACUGAGACACGGUCCAGACUCCUACGGGAGGCAGCAGGGGGGAAUAUUGCACAAUGGGCGCAAGCCUGAUGCAGCCAUGCCGCGUGUAUGAAGAAGGCCUUCGGGUUGUAAAGUACUUUCAGCGGGGAGGAAGGGAGUAAAGUUAAUACCUUUGCUCAUUGACGUUACCCGCAGAAGAAGCACCGGCUAACUCCGUG
rnacentral:rRNA from 1 species